rnacentral:rRNA from 1 species
AAUGAACGUUGGCGGCGUGGAUUAGGCAUGCAAGUCGUGCGAGAACCGUAGCAAUACGGGGACAGCGGCGAAAGGGAGAGGAAUACGCGGGUACCUACCCUCGGAUCUGGGAUAGCUACGGGAAACUGUAGGUAAUACCAGAUAACGUCUCCGGACCAAAGGUGUGAUUCCGUCCGGGGAGGGGCCCACGUCCUAUUAGCUUGUUGGCGAGGUAACGGCUCACCAAGGCAAAGAUGGGUAUGGGAUGUGAGAGCAUGAUCCCACUCACUGGGACUGAGACACUGCCCAGACACCUACGGGUGGCUGCAGUCGAGAAUCUUCGGCAAUGGGGGCAACCCUGACCGAGCGACGCCGCGUGCGAGAUGAAGGCCUUCGGGUUGUAAAUCGCUGUCAGUGGGGAGGAAAUAUUGGUGGGUUCUCCCAUCAGUUUGACCUAUCCGCAGAGGAAGGACGGGCUAAGUUCGUGCCAGCCGCCGCAGUAAUAC